rnacentral:rRNA from 12 species
GCCAGCAGCCGCGGUAAUACGGAGGGUGCAAGCGUUAAUCGGAAUUACUGGGCGUAAAGCGCGCGUAGGCGGUUACUCAAGUCAGAGGUGAAAGCCCGGAGCUCAACUCCGGAACUGCCUUUGAAACUAGGUGACUAGAAUCUUGGAGAGGCGAGUGGAAUUCCGAGUGUAGAGGUGAAAUUCGUAGAUAUUCGGAGGAACACCAGUGGCGAAGGCGGCUCACUGGCUCGAUACUGACGCUGAGGUGCGAAAGUGUGGGGAGCAAACAGGAUUAGAUACCCUGGUAGUCCACGCCGUAAACGAUGUCAACUAGCCGUUGGGACUCUU